AACUGCUCUUCGAAUUUUACUUGAAAAAGAACUCUCUUUAGUUUUCUGCGAAUCAGACAAGAAAAAGGAAUAAAUAGAAACAGACGAAGAUCUGUUGGCUCUUUGUUAUUAUUAUUAUUAUGUGUAAGUAAUUGUUUUUGGACGCAACACCAAUACGGUCAAAAAGGCUCAAAGUUACUACUCUUCUUCAGCCCCCACCAACUUAAAAACCUCUGAGCACCAUUUUGUACUCAUUUCUUCUCUCUUUUCUCUAUCACAAUUUUCAAUUUUAA